UUAAAGAGAAGAAUACCCAGCUAUCUAAAGAGCUGGAAGAGUGCAAAGCCCAACUGCGGGCCGCAGUUGCAGGAAUGAAGGAGCCCCAGAAGGCCUCGUCUGACAAUCCCGGAAGUAAUCCGGAGAUCGUAUCGGAGGAUGACCCUCAUGCUCAAUGACAGCUGAAAGCUGGCGAGUGUGUGCUUACAAAAGGUAUACGGGAGAAGAAUGAUCUCCAGGACGCAAAGACCAGGCUGGACGUUGAAUUAAAGGAUGUCCGGGGCCAACUUGCUGACUCCGUGAAGGAAAAUAAGUGGCUUCAACGCGGCAUUUUUAGUAUGCUGACAGGUCAUCCCGGAGAGGAGAUGC